rnacentral:rRNA from 1 species
UACGUAGGGGGCGAGCGUUGUCCGGAGUUACUGGGCGUAAAGCGCUUGUAGGCGGUCCACCAAGUUUGGGGUGACAGUUGCCGACUUAAUCGGCAAAGUGCCUCAAAGACUGGCGGACUUGAGGGCCACAGAGGGACAUGGAACUCCAGGUGUAGUGGGGAAAUGCGUAGAUAUUGCUCGGAAGGCCGGAGCCGAAGGGGCCCCACUGGUACGUAACUGACGCUGAGGCACGAAAGCGUGGGGAGCAAACAGG